rnacentral:rRNA from 1 species
GUACGCUGGCGGCGUGUCUUAGCCAUGCAAGUCGAGCGGACUUAUGGGGUAACUUAUAAGUCAGCGGCGGACGGCGGAGUAACACGUAGCUAACCUACCCUCUGGACGGGGAUAACCUACCGAAAGGUGGGCUAAUACCCGAUGUAGUCAUCCUGUAUAGGGGUGAUGAAAGGUGGGCUUCUGUUUACAAGCUCAUGCUGGAGGAGGGGGCGUGCGGCCUAUCAGGUAGUUGGUAGGGUAAUAGCCUACCAAGCCGAUGACGGGUAGCCGGCCUGAGAGGGUGACCGGCCCGAGGGGCACUGAGAUACGGGUCCCACUCCUACGGGAGGCAGCAGGCUAGAAAUUUGGGCAAUGGGGGAAACCCUGACCCAGUGACGCCGCGUGCAGGAAGGAGCCCUUCGGGGUGUAAACUGCUGUCGUGUAGGGAGAAGGGUACUAAGGUGAACAAUCUUAGUACUUGACGGUACUACAGGAGGAAGCCCAGGCUAACCUCGUG